rnacentral:rRNA from 1 species
UACGUAGGGGGCGAGCGUUGUCCGGAUUUAUUGGGCGUAAAGAGCGUGUAGGCGGCCAAGCAGGUCCGUUGUGAAAACUGGAGGCUCAACCUUCAGAGGUCGACCGAAACCAUCUGGCUAGAGUCCGGGAGAGGAGAGUGGAAUUCCUGGUGUAGCGGUGAAAUGCGUAGAUAUCUGGAGGAACACCGGUGGCGAAGGCGGCAUCCUGGACCGGCAUUGACGCUGAGGCGCGAAAGCUAGGGGAGCAAACGGGG